rnacentral:rRNA from 1 species
UGGCGUGACCCGGAACCAGGCGCCCGCCGGGGACCCAAACUCUUGCCUUUCUAGUGUCUCUUCUGAGUGGCAUAAGCAAAAAUAAACAAAACUUUCAGCAACGGAUCUCUUGGUUCUGGCAUCGAUGAAGAACGCAGCGAAAUGCGAUAAGUAAUGUGAAUUGCAGAAUUCAGUGAAUCAUCGAAUCUUUGAACGCACAUUGCGCCCGCCAGUAUUCUGGCGGGCAUGCCUGUCUGAGCGUCAUUUCAACCCUCAGCCCCCGUUCGCGGGGCGCUGGCGUUGGGGAUCGGCCGUCCUCCGCGGCGGCCGGCCCCGAAACACAGUGGCGGUCUCCUGCAGACUCCCCUGCGUAGUAGCACUACCUCGCAGAAGGGACGAGCGGGCUGGCCACGCCGUAAAACCCCCAACUUCUCAAGGUUGACCUCAGAUCAGGUAGGAAUACCCGCUGAACUUAAGCAUAUCAAUAAGCGGAGGAAAAGAAACCAACAGGGAUUGCCCUAGUAACGGCGAGUGAAGCGGCAACAGCUCAAAUUUGAAAUCUGGCACUUGUGCCCGAGUUGUAAUUUGUAGAGGAUGCUUUUGGCGACGCGCCUUCCGAGUUCCCUGGAACGGGACGCCAUAGAGGGUGAGAGCCCCGUCCGGUCGUGCGCCUAGCCUCUGUAAAGCUCCUUCGACGAGUCGAGUAGUUUGGGAAUGCUGCUCUAAAUGGGAGGUAUACGUCUUCUAAAGCUAAAUACCGGCCAGAGACCGAUAGCGCACAAGUAGAGUGAUCGAAAGAUGAAAAGCACUUUGAAAAGAGGGUUAAAUAGUACGUGAAAUUGCUGAAAGGGAAGCGCUUAUGACCAGACUUGGGCGCGGCGGAUCAUCCGGCGUUCUCGCCGGUGCACUCCACCGCCCCAGGCCAGCAUCAGUUCGCGCCGGGGGACAAAGGCUU